AGAUGAAAAUGGCACAUUUUCACCAGCCCCAGAGGAUUAUUCGCAAAACAGCAAUAGCACCGAGGUAACCGCUCGCCUCCUGGGCAGAAGUCAGAGUCUUUGCGUGGUCGCAGCGGAAGUGGACAGAGACCAAGGAGAACAAGAGGGAACUAUUUUAGGCUGUCAUGAGCACAAAGGUCGUCCUGGCCCAGCGGCAUCGCUACAGCCAGGACAUGACCACACGUGCCCGCGACCGCUGCGCGGCGAGGAGGAAUCUCUUGCUGCAGGAGCAGGGUGCAACUCCUGCUCCCUUUCCAGCCGAAUUUUGGCAGCACCCACACAAACGCCGCCACCGUCACCAGCAGACCCUGGCACAGAAAGCGCUGCGUGCCACCGACGCGCUGAAAUGGGAAGCAAGAUGAGCCAAACGCUGAUCGAGGUCUUAUUAAUAACACUUGGCUAUUGAUUGCACUUUACAUCUUCAAGCGCUUUGCCAACAUUAAUUAAUUAAGGUGUUUUCCAUUUAACGCUGAGAGGAGAACAAAAGCAGCAGGCGAAAUGGCCCAAGCACUUGGCUCAGCACGGCUUGUCCUUGCUCCCCAAACUUCUCAUUUCCCCAGAGACCUUGCCGUUACUCAAAAUUAUCAAAAACCCUAGCAUCAGUUCAGCAAAGGACUUCACCCAGGAGGCCAGAAGCACACCCUGGCGUGCUAGGGGGUCAUGGAGCCCUGAUGGCGCCCGCUCCAAUGCUCUGCCACCCACCCAUGUACCCACCACGCCUGAGAUGCAAACCAGAGCUGGGCCACGCGGGUUCUGACACCCGGGCCCAGAAGCACCUAGAGCAGCCCCACAAGGAGCCAGCGACACAAAUACCGCUCUGCAUCCAGCUCUAGAUAAUGCUACGGCCAAAAUAAGUCUCCAGAAAACUCGCCAUUUAAAACGAGAUGCCAGGAGCAAGGGGUUGGAAUGAUUAACGCUCACGCUAAGGACUUUAACAACACGUGGCUUCAUCCCUACCUCCGUACGCACGCCCACCACCCAGUCCGUCUCUCUCGGCUGAAUUCUCCCGGUUUGUUACAAAUCGCAGAAAAAAGCCCUCGAAGCGUUACCUCACCACUGCCCGCGUGCGAGCAGAGAUGGCACGUUAUAGCAGGGAGAAGUCACAGUACGCACAAAAGGAGCUGAGUUAUUACCUCGAGCUGUCUCAAGCUGCACCGUAAUUAUGUGAACACCACAUUUCACCAAGGCAGCAUUAAUUACUGAGUGAGCUGAGCACGGAGGCACACGUUUCCCUCAGCUCACCUAACUCCGGACCGACCCAGUGCGCCCACCCACAGCGGUGGCAGCGACAGGACCACCACGGCCAAAGGCACCUGGGGGGACCAUGCCACCAGCAGACCCCCACCACCCAUCUGAGUACCACCACCAAACCCUAAAUCCCCACGGGCUGGUGGCUGCCCACCCCACUUACCAGCCUCCAGCUCUCCCACAGCACGUGGGCUUAAACCAAAUAGCUCAGCGAUCCUCCUACUUACACAGCUCGUUCUACUUAUUCGGACUCAUUUUCACCCCAUCCUUCUGAAAUCAUCCUGAAACCCUUGGAAAACAGAAGGCUCCCUACAGAUACAUCAGGCCCACCUAUAGAAGCAGGCCCAGGGCAAUGUAUGGGAACACGGAUGAAUAAUAGUAUAAAAUUGGGAAGGAAACCCAGAAUGGAGUCUAUUUAUUUUUUAUUUUUGCUGAGACCAAGCAUUCCUCCCCUUGGCUGGAUACGUCGUGUUUUAAAUACCAGCCUCUUCAACACGUGGGGAAGGGAAAAAAAAAAACACAUCCAGAGCUACACGGGCUUGGCACUGGCCCCCAGCACACCAAGAUAAAAUUUGCCUGCUUAAAUCUGGAGGCUGGAGCGAGUCCUCCAGGGCCUCCUGCCCUGCCAAAGGCACCACUCCGGUGCCCAGCCAAGGAUGGGACUGCUCCUGGCACUCUAUGGCAGGUGGUAUUUCCACCGGGACCCCAAAGCAGGUGGGAUUGGGGUUAUUACAUGGGAACACGCACACUUUGGAGAACGGAGCGCAGUUCUUCAGCGCUGUUAUAGCACACCAAUUGUUUCCCAGCAUGCUGCCAGCAAAGGAAACUGAAGAGGUGCUUUUCCAUCACCCAAUGGGUUGAAAAACCCCUGAGGAGGGAAAAAAAAAAAAAAAAAAAAAAAAAAAAUCGAAACCCUGACCCCUGGCAAGCCACCCCAAAUCCCUCCCUGGCCGGGGCGUGCUGCCGAGCAGAGGCACUGCUCCUCCACGCAAACACACGCGCAGAAGCCUCCUGGAGAAGAACCAACCCAAGCCAAACCCCAAACCCGCAGCAAUAGGUGCAGGGAAGGGCAGCCAAAGGGUUUCCCCCUGCCUUUCCAGCUCUCAGCCCUCCACGGCUGCAUAGGCAGGAAGAGGGACAACGGGGGCCAAGUGGGCUAUGGGAAGGGGUCCGGGUCCGCGAUACGCAGUGGGGUCCGGCACAACUUUGCACCUGGGCACCACCACACGCACCUGGGCAUCCCGACGCGCACCCCAGCACCGUGGCAUGCACCUCAGCACCCUGCUUGGCCCCACCUGGCGAUGGAUCCCGCUGAACAGGUGGAACCCCCCCUCGCCACAGCCGAACCCAACAGGUUGGCUGGAAAAAACCCGUGAAGGAACCCCUCCAAACCGAGCUGCAUCGACACCACCAGCCGCCGACAAUGCCCACCGAGGGCACCGCUGCCUUUAACACACCCCCCACCCCCCCCCGGCCACCCAAACCCUGAAAGGCGACCAGCACCGAGGGGCGACCUGCAUUGCAUGGUGCCAGCCGAUCCCGUCAGUAAAUAAAUACCGAGGAAAUCGCCCCCAGGAGCCACGUCCGGGGCACAGGUGGGAACCCAGCCCGGCUCCGAGCCGGGGGGGGGCGGGAUGAUCCCGGCACCCGCAGCCCCUUGGGGAGCACCGAGAGGCGGCUGCAUCCCGGAUCCCGCCGGGUUUGGGCUUCGCCGAGCAGAAGGGACCCCCCCAGGCAGUCAGCACCCGAGGGGGGGGGGGGCACGGAAGCGGUGUGUCCUCAUCCCCCCCCCCGGUAACUUUUGCCUCCCCCCCCGGGUUGGAGGGGGGCAGCUCGGGGCUGGGCGGCCGGAGCCUCCCCGGGCCGGGCGAUGCCGGCGGGGAGAAGAUGGCUGCGGCUGGCUCCCCAAUUACGAAACCGUUCUUUUGAGAUUAGCCUGAAGACAUCUCCAAAGAUUUUCUCCCUUUCCGUGCACCUCCUCCUGUCCCUGCAGGGAACAGCUGGGUCCAUUUAAAAUGGAUUUUGAUCUCAAAGCAGGAUUUGGUUUCUCUGAGCUUCCCCCUGACCACAGCAUGCAGCGAUCCCAAGGCAUCGGCGAGCUCUGCAGCAGGCAGCGCAGCCUGGACCUGGCUGGCCACGUACACCUGAGCAGCACCGCCUCUGCCAUGGGGUUUGCUGGGUUCCCUCUGGGGCUGGAACCACGACCGUGAGGUGCACUGCAAGCACCAUACCAGAGGAUAACUUGGGGCUAUGCUGAUUCCUGUUCAGAAGGUGAAGCCCUUGCUUAAGUCCUCAAGAUCGGGAUGAAACAAAGUAUUAAGAAAUGAAUUUAUUCCCUUUCUCCUAUUAGUGUUGAAUUAACAAAAAAAAAAUAAUUGAGAGCUAAUUAAAUAGACAAAAU